UCCUCCCUCUGGCGGCGUGCUUAACACACGCAAGUCGAACGGAAAGGCCCUGCUAUUGUGGGGUGCUCGAGUGGCGAACGGGUGAGUAACACGUGAGUAACCUGCCAUUGACUUUGGGAUAACUUCAGGAAACUGGGGCUAAUAACGGAUAGGAGCUCCUGCUGCAUGGUGGGGGUUGGAAAGUUUCGGCGGUUGGGGAUGGACUCGCGGCUUAUCAGCUUGUUGGUGGGGUAGUGGCUUACCAAGGCUUUGACGGGUAGCCGGCCUGAGAGGGUGACCGGCCACAUUGGGACUGAGAUACGGCCCAGACUCCUACGGGAGGCAGCAGUGGGGAAUAUUGCACAAUGGGCGGAAGCCUGAUGCAGCAACGCCGCGUGCGGGAUGACGGCCUUCGGGUUGUAAACCGCUUUCGCCUGUGACGAAGCGUGAGUGACGGUAAUGGGUAAAGAAGCACCGGCUAACUACGUG
rnacentral:rRNA from 1 species